GAUUAAGUUAUUAAGGGCGCACGGUGGAUGCCUUGGCACUAGAAGCCGAUGAAGGACGUUACUAACGACGAUAUGCUUUGGGGAGCUGUAAGUAAGCUGUAAUCCAGAGAUUUCCGAAUGGGGAAACCCAGCACGAGUUAUGUCGUGUUAUCGACAUGUGAAUAUAUAUCAUGUCUGAAGGCAUACCCGGAGAACUGAAACAUCUUAGUACCCGGAGGAAGAGAAAGAAAAAUCGAUUCCCUGAGUAGCGGCGAGCGAAACGGGAAGAGCCCAAACCAAUAAGCUUGCUUAUUGGGGUUGUAGGACACUCUAUACGGAGUUACAAAUGUAUAAAUUAGACGAAUUAUCUGGAAAGAUAAAUCAAAGAAGGUAAUAAUCCUGUAGUCGAAAAUUUAUACACUCUUGAGUGGAUCCUGAGUACGACGGAGCACGUGGAAUUCCGUCGGAAUCCGGGAGGACCAUCUCCCAAGGCUAAAUACUCUCUAGUGACCGAUAGUGAACCAGUACCGUGAGGGAAAGGUGAAAAGUACCCGGAAGGGGAGUGAAAGAGAACUUGAAACCGUGUGCUUACAAGUAGUCAGAGCCCGUUAAUGGGUGAUGGCGUGCCUUUUGUAGAAUGAACCGGCGAGUUACGAUCUGAUGCAAGGUUAAGCAGCAAAUGUGGAGCCGCAGCGAAAGCGAGUCUGAAUAGGGCGUUGAGUAUUUGGUCGUAGACCCGAAACCAGGUGAUCUACCCAUGACCAGGCUGAAGUUCAGGUAACACUGAAUGGAGGGCCGAACCGACUUACGUUGAAAAGUGAGCGGAUGAGUUGUGGGUAGCGGAGAAAUUCCAAUCGAACCUGGAGAUAGCUGGUUCUCUCCGAAAUAGCUUUAGGGCUAGCCUCAAGUGAUGAUUAUUGGAGGUAGAGCACUGUUUGGACGAGGGCCCUUCUCGGGUUACCGAAUUCAGACAAACUCCGAAUGCCAAUCAAUUUAACUUGGGAGUCAGAACAUGGGUGAUAAGGUCCGUGUUCGAAAGGGAAACAGCCCAGACCACCAGCUAAGGUCCCAAAAUAUAUGUUAAGUGGAAAAGGAUGUGGCGUUGCCCAGACAACUAGGAUGUUGGCUUAGAAGCAGCCAUCAUUUAAAGAGUGCGUAAUAGCUCACUAGUCGAGUGACACUGCGCCGAAAAUGUACCGGGGCUAAACAUAUUACCGAAGCUGUGGAUUGUCCGUAGGACAAUGGUAGGAGAGCGUUCUAAGGGCGUUGAAGCAUGAUCGCAAGGACAUGUGGAGCGCUUAGAAGUGAGAAUGCCGGUGUGAGUAGCGAAAGACGGGUGAGAAUCCCGUCCACCGAUUGACUAAGGUUUCCAGAGGAAGGCUCGUCCGCUCUGGGUUAGUCGGGACCUAAGCUGAGGCCGAAAGGCGUAGGCGAUGGACAACAGGUUGAUAUUCCUGUACCACCUCAAUUCGUUUUAAGCGAUGGGGGACGCAGUAGGAUAGGCGAAGCGUACGAUUGGAUUGUACGUCCAAGCAGUAAGACUGAGUAUUAGGCAAAUCCGGUACUCGUAAGGUCAAGCUGUGAUGGGGAGAGGAAUUUAUUCCUCGAGUCGUUGAUUUCACACUGCCAAGAAAAUCCUCUAGCUAGAAUUAUGGUGCCCGUACCGCAAACCGACACAGGUAGUCAAGAUGAGAAUUCUAAGGUGAGCGAGCGAACUCUCGUUAAGGAACUCGGCAAAAUGACCCCGUAACUUCGGGAGAAGGGGUGCUUUCUAGGGUUCACGCCCAGGAAAGCCGCAGUGAAUAGGCCCAAGCGACUGUUUAUCAAAAACACAGGUCUCUGCUAAACCGUAAGGUGAUGUAUAGGGGCUGACGCCUGCCCGGUGCUGGAAGGUUAAGAGGAGUGGUUAGCUUCUGCGAAGCUACGAAUCGAAGCCCCAGUAAACGGCGGCCGUAACUAUAACGGUCCUAAGGUAGCGAAAUUCCUUGUCGGGUAAGUUCCGACCCGCACGAAAGGCGUAACGAUUUGGGCACUGUCUCAACGAGAGACUCGGUGAAAUCAUAGUACCUGUGAAGAUGCAGGUUACCCGCGACAGGACGGAAAGACCCCGUGGAGCUUUACUGUAGUCUGAUAUUGAAAUUCGGCACAGCUUGUACAGGAUAGGUAGGAGCCUUUGAUACGUGAGCGCUAGCUUACGUGGAGGCGUUGGUGGGAUACUACCCUCGCUGUGUUGGAUUUCUAACCCGCACCAUUGAUCAUGGUGGGAGACAGUGUCAGAUGGACAGUUUGACUGGGGCGGUCGCCUCCUAAAGAGUAACGGAGGCGCUCAAAGGUUCCCUCAGAAUGGUUGGAAAUCAUUCACAGAGUGUAAAGGCAUAAGGGAGCUUGACUGCGAGACUUACAAGUCGAGCAGGGUCGAAAGACGGACUUAGUGAUCCGGUGGUUCCGCAUGGAAGGGCCAUCGCUCAACGGAUAAAAGCUACCCCGGGGAUAACAGGCUUAUCUCCCCCAAGAGUUCACAUCGACGGGGAGGUUUGGCACCUCGAUGUCGGCUCAUCGCAUCCUGGGGCUGUAGUCGGUCCCAAGGGUUGGGCUGUUCGCCCAUUAAAGCGGUACGCGAGCUGGGUUCAGAACGUCGUGAGACAGUUCGGUCCCUAUCCGUCGUGGGCGUAGGAAAUUUGAGAGGAGCUGUCCUUAGUACGAGAGGACCGGGAUGGACAUACCUCUGGUGUACCAGUUGUCGUGCCAACGGCAUCGCUGGGUAGCUAUGUAUGGACGGGAUAAGUGCUGAAAGCAUCUAAGCAUGAAGCCCCCCUCAAGAUGAGAUUUCCCAACUUCGGUUAUAAGAUCCUCAAAGAUGAUGAGGUUAAUAGGUUCGAGGUGGAAGCAUAGUGAUAUGUGGAGCUGACGAAUACUAAUCGAUCGAAGACUUAAUCAA
rnacentral:rRNA from 1 species